AUUCAGCUUGCUCCCCGUAGACCGAAGUGGUAAUGCCUGGUGCGGCGUCGUGCCUGUGAAAUCUUCCGGUGUGGGGAUAACGUCUGAAACGGGUGCGCUACCGCCGCAUACGUCCUGGAGGAAGAAAAAUAAAGGGAUCUCGGACCUCACGCCAUCAGACGGUUUUCCAGUGUCGAAGAAGCUGCUGGUGCGGGCAAAGGCCUACCAAGGCGACGAGAAUGAUCCGCAACUGGUUCGGAGAGCAUCAAUGUCAGACACCGGAACCGUGAGCACGGUCCAAGACCCUACGGGAGCGCGUGGCCGACAAUGGGCUUAAGCUCGAUCCGUUGGCCGCCAUGCGUGAAGAAGGCCUCGGAUUGUAAAGCACCUGUUGGGAGGCAGGCGAAGUCAAUACCUGCUGUUUGGACGUUGCCAACAAGAAUAACACCGGCUAACCUCAUUCGCCGCCAGCAGUCGUGGUAUGAAGGUGCGCCGUUAAUCGGAAUUACCGGGCGUAUAUUCGUAGUGGUGACCUGCUGGAUGAAAAUCGGGCCCGUCCUGAACUGCAUCCAAAAAUUUCGCUGAGCAAGCCAGUGAUACGAGGCGUGGUGCAGGAAUUUCCUGUAGCGGUGAAAUGCGUAGAUAUAGAAGAACACCAGUGGCGAAGGCGACCACCUGGACUGAUACUGACACUGAGGUGCGAAAGCGUGGUGGGAGCAAACAGGAUUAGAUACCCUGGUAGUCCACGCCGUAAACGAUGUCGACUAGCCGUUGGGAUCCUUGAGAUCUUAGUGGCGCAGCUAACGCGAUAAGUCGACCGCCUGGGAGUACGGCCGCAAGGUUAAAACUCAAAUGAAUUGACGGGGCCGCGCGAGCAAGGUGGUUUAAUUCGAAGCAACGCGAAGAACCUUACCUGGCCUUGACAUGCUGAGAACUUUCCAGAGAUGGAUUGGUGCCUUCGGGAACUCAGACACAGGUGCUGCAUGGCUGUCGUCAGCUCGUGUCGUGAGAUGUUGGGUUAAGUCCGUAACGAGCGCAACCCUUGUCCUUAGUUACCAGCACCUCGGGUGGGCACUCUAAGGAGACUGCCGGUGACAAACCGGAGGAAGGUGGGGAUGACGUCAAGUCAUCAUGGCCCUACGGCCAGGGCUACGUGCUACAAUGGUCGGUACAAAGAAGGUUGCCAAGCCGCGAGGUGGAGCUAAUCCCAUAAAACCGAUCGUAGUCCGGAUCGCAGUCUGCAACUCGACUGCGUGAAGUCGGAAUCGCUAGUAAUCGUGAAUCAGAAUGUCACGAAUACGUUCCCGGGCCUUGUACACACCGA
rnacentral:rRNA from 1 species